rnacentral:rRNA from 1 species
GUUGCAGGGUAUAGACCCGAAACCCGGUGAUCUAGCCAUGGGCAGGUUGAAGGUUGGGUAACACUAACUGGAGGACCGAACCGACUAAUGUUGAAAAAUUAGCGGAUGACCUGUGGCUGGGGGUGAAAGGCCAAUCAAACCGGGAGAUAGCUGGUUCUCCCCGAAAGCUAUUUAGGUAGCGCCUCGUGAAUUCAUCUCCGGGGGUAGAGCACUGUUUCGGCUAGGGGGCCAUCCCGGCUUACCAACCCGAUGCAAACUGCGAAUACCGGAGAAUGUUAUCACGGGAGACACACGGCGGGUGCUAACGUCCGUCGUGAAGAGGGAAACAACCCAGACCGCCAGCUAAGGUCCCAAAGUCAUGGUUAAGUGGGAAACGAUGUGGGAAGGCCCAGACAGCCAGGAUGUUGGCUUAGAAGCAGCCAUCAUUUAAAGAAAGCGUAAUAGCUCACUGGUCGAGUCGGCCUGCGCGGAAGAUGUAACGGGGCUAAACCAUGCACCGAAGCUGCGGCAGCGACGCUGAUGCGUUGUUGGGUAGGGGAGCGUUCUGUAAGCCUGCGAAGGUGUGUCGUGAGGCAUGCUGGAGGUAUCAGAAGUGCGAAUGCUGACAUAAGUAACGAUAAAGCGGGUGAAAAGCCCGCUCGCCGGAAGACCAAGGGUUCCUGUCCAACGUUAAUCGGGGCAGGGUGAGUCGACCCCUAAGGCGAGGCCGAAAGGCGUAGUCGAUGGGAAACGGGUUAAUAUUCCCGUACUUGGUGUUACUGCGAAGGGGGGACGGAGAAGGCUAUGUUGGCCGGGCGACGGUUGUCCCGGUUUAAGCGUGUAGGUGUGUGUUCCAGGUAAAUCCGGUUCACUUUAACACUGAGGCGUGAUGACGAGGCACUACGGUGCUGAAGCAACAAAUGCCCUGCUUCCAGGAAAAGCCUCUAAGCAUCAGGUAACAUCAAAUCGUACCCCAAACCGACACAGGUGGUCAGGUAGAGAAUACCAAGGCGCUUGAGAGAACUCGGGUGAAGGAACUAGGCAAAAUGGUGCCGUAACUUCGGGAGAAGGCACGCUGACAC